rnacentral:rRNA from 1 species
CACGUAGUUAGCCGGGGCUUCUUACUCAGGUACCGUCAUCUUCUUCCCUGCUGAUAGAGCUUUACAUGCCGAAAUACUUCUUCACUCACGCGGCGUUGCUGCAUCAGGGUUUCCCCCAUUGUGCAAUAUUCCCCACUGCUGCCUCCCGUAGGAGUUUGGGCCGUGUCUCAGUCCCAAUGUGGCCGGUCACCCUCUCAGGUCGGCUACUGAUCGUCGCCUUGGUGGGCCGUUACCCCUCCAACUAGCUAAUCAGACGCGGGUCCAUCUCAUACCACCGGAGUUUUUCACACAAGAACAUGCAUCCUCGUGCGCUUAUGCGGUAUUAGCAGUCAUUUCUAACUGUUACUCCCCCUGUACUGAGGCACGGUUACCCACGCGUUACCUCACCCGUCCGCCACUCAGUCAAUCUAGCUCCAUCCGAAAACUUCCGACUAAAUCGCUUCGUUCGACUUGCAUGUGUUAAGCACGCCGCAGCGUCACUCUG